rnacentral:rRNA from 1 species
UACAGAGGUCCCAAGCGUUGUUCGGAUUCACUGGGCGUAAAGGGUGCGUAGGUGGCCAGGUAAGUUUGGUGUGAAAACUCGGAGCUUAACUCCGAAAAGUCAUUGAAUACUAUCUGGCUGGAGGGUCGGAGGGGAGACUGGAAUUCUCGGUGUAGCAGUGAAAUGCGUAGAUAUCGAGAGGAACACCAGUGGCGAAGGCGAGUCUCUGGACGACUCCUGACACUGAGGCACGAAAGCUAGGGGAGCAAACAGG